rnacentral:rRNA from 1 species
CACGUAGGACGCGAGCGUUAUCCGGAUUCACUGGGCGUAAAGGGGGCGUAGGCGGCCGUGUAAGUCCGGUGUGAAAUACCACGGCUCAACCGUGGGACUGCGCUGGAAACUACACGGCUUGAGGACGGUAGAGGGAGACGGAACUGCUGGUGUAGGGGUGAAAUCCGUAGAUAUCAGCAGGAACGCCGGUGGAGAAGUCGGUCUCCUGGGCCGUUCCUGACGCUGAGGCCCGAAAGCUAGGGGAGCAAACCGG